rnacentral:rRNA from 1 species
GAUGAACGCUGGCGGCGUGCCUAAUACAUGCCAGUCGAGCGAACGGACGAGAAGCUUGCUUCUCUGAUGUUAGCGGCGGACGGGUGAGUAACACGUGGAUAACCUACCUAUAAGACUGGGAUAACUUCGGGAAACCGGAGCUAAUACCGGAUAAUAUUUUGAACCGCAUGGUUCAAAAGUGAAAGACGGUCUUGCUGUCACUUAUAGAUGGAUCCGCGCUGCAUUAGCUAGUUGGUAAGGUAACGGCUUACCAAGGCAACGAUGCAUAGCCGACCUGAGAGGGGGAUCGGCCACACUGGAACUGAGACAGGGUCCAGGCCCCUACGGGAGGCAGAAGGAGGGAAUUUUCCGCAAUGGGCGAAAGCCUGACGGAGCAACGGCGGGGGAGUAAAGAAGGUCUUCGGUUCGUAAAACUUUGUUAUUAGGGAAAAAAAUAUGUGUAAGUAACUGUGCACAUCUUGACGGUACCUAAUAAGAAAGCCGCGGCUAACUACUU